UGUGCCCACGCUGUGGGCUGUGCGGCUGUGCCUGGCUGCACUGCUCCAGCCCAGAGCCCACUGCCUGCAGCUGCAUCUCUGCUUCCUUCCCUCCCACACAGAGCUCCAAGGGUGCUCCUGCCAUCCCCUGCCCACCCCUAAAAUGCCAAAUACAUUUGGCAGCGGGAUGGAGGAAUCCCAGCACGCUGCUUCCUCUGUCCCCCAGGGCUCCCGUCUGAGCAAUGGGAAUGGUCUGUGGGGAAAGGGAGUGCUGGCAGGAGGCACUGCUGCAGCCGGCUGGGGAUGGUCUGCAUAGCCCAUGCCCUUGUGUUCUCUCUCCAGCUGAAUCAGGACCAGAGAAGGCCAGAUCAGAAGCUGCAGCUGAGACUGAUGGACCUGCACAACUGCAAAAGAUUCAAUUAGUAACCAGGCUGUAUCAAACCAGAAGGCGUUACAGAGAUCACCUGUGGUGCUUCAGAGGCCACAUAAGAAGCCGUUCAAUGGAUUCAUUACUCUUCCCUAAAGGAGCUGAAAUGGCUGUUGUUGUUGUUCUUCAGUCCUGGAGAAAUGACGCUGUAAAAAUUCAAGCCUUUAUCUGAGCAAACAAAGCACGAGAAGAGGACAAAACCCCCAGAUGUCAUUUCUCACAGCAAAAAACUUUCUAAGCAGUACAAGAAGCAAAAGGGAGGUUUGAAAGCUUUGAGCGAGUAGAAGAGGGAACAAAGGCUGGCAGCCCAUCGGCAUCUGUUCUGCUUCCUUCAGCCGUAGUUCAGGGAAAUGUGGAUGCUUUCUUCUCUGCUGCUGUUUCCCAUAGCAGUAUCCUAGGAAUGGCUUCUGUCACGGAUUGCUUACUUGCUUACUUCAAAUACUGAAAGAAAUGACCGUUCUUUUCCUUCUGCCUGUGUAGAACUCCCUUUGAUUUUGAUGACAAAUCCAUUAUCUGUUUCCCAAAAGUGAUGCUGAGCACCGUGCCUCAUGAUGACUUACACAUACCUCGUGCUUCAUAUUAAUUCCUCAUUUGGGUCAAAAGUAGACUGAAAUCCUUGAGCCUGUGCCUGGGGAUCCCGCUGCUACUGAGACAGUUCAGCUGCAGUGCCCGCGGUCAGAACGCCCUGCGGCAAUCCUGGCAUCGGCUGUGAAUGAGAGAACUGACAGCAAAUCACUCAAUAUCGAAACCCAUCCGGUGGAUAUCUCUGAGCCUUGGGUGAGCUGGGCGGCAUCUCAGGGUGGUGAGGUCGGGUAUGGAGGCUGUUACUGCGAUGUUCCUUCUAAGAGCUGCUCGGCUGUUUUGCGUUGCUCUGAUUAAUUGUUCCAAGCUAUCCUUGGCUUUGCUGCACACAUCUGUCUAAUUGGUACCAUGUUUUUUCAUCACCUCCGAUGCUGGCUGAAAAAAAAGGAAUAAUAAUAAUUAAAAAAAAUGCACAACAGCAAUUUGCUGGUUAUUUAUUUAUUUCCACAUAAAUUUCCACAUCAGAAGCACUUAGCAUGGGUUUGGUGGGUUUGUCGAAGUUUUUCUUGGUUUUCUUCGUUGUCUCCCC
rnacentral:lncRNA from 1 species